ACAUAGCUAUUUAAGGCCAAAUACUUGAUGCCAUUCUCUAUUCUUUGAAGAAAGAAUUCUACAGGGAAUAAACCUUGUAUCAUCAAAUUUCUGGAAUGGUUUGUGCUUUAGCAACAGUUGCCUUAAUGGCUUGCGAAUCUCGGCAAUGUGAAAGAAAGAACUUCAUUUUUUGGCCAAAUCUUCUCCUUGUGGUGCUUUCAUUGAUUUUAUGUCUGCUUGCUUUGCUAUGUUGUUCCUGAUAUUUCAUUACGCUGCCUGUUUUCCCACUUGACUUCUUACUACUGCUACGAGUUGCUAGUAAUGAGCCUAAAGAACUAGAUUGAUUUCUGAUCAAAGACUGACUUGAAAAUGCUUGUGGUCGAAGUUGACCAUUGGAAAUAAGAAAAACACCCUAGUUUCCUUCUCUAAACACAUGCUGCAAGCAGUAAAGAGAGUGAUUGCUCGAAUUGAAAUUGGAAUUUAGCCAUUCCACACUUUGCUUGAGCAGAUUCAUACCAUCUUUCGUUUCAAUUUGAUUGCUUCUUUUUCCCCGGAAAACCCGUGAGCGUGUUCCGUUAUUAUUCCAGUUUGAAACCCCAAUUUCUUUCUUUUACCAUGGAACCUGGAAGAUUUGAUCCAACUUACUCCUCAGAGUUAUUGAAGCAUAUGGAUAAGCAGAAUGAGAUCCUUAUGGAAGCCUACAGAUCAAUGCUCCAUGAAUCGCAAAAACUUCAGGUGUGGCAGCUUGACAAGUUCUGGAGGGAGUUUUCCUUGAAGAUUUUGUGCAUUCAGGAUUCUGUUGAUCAUUUUGUUUUUGGGCAACAAAUUAUUGGAAGAUGAUACACCUUUCCCUUCAAGGACUACUGAUGAAAUCUAUGCAUAACAAGAAAAUGAAAGUUUUCAAACCUUUGCAAUAUAUACUGAAUUACAUCUCUAAGUACUUUGUUUCUCAUAUACUUUAUUUCCGGUGAUGCCAAAGAAGCUUGCUAUAGGCUUUCCAGCAUCUUCAUCGUCCAUGUCCACAUGAACAAAGACCAGCUGCAACAGAUAAUUGAACAUUAGAAAUACAAAGAUUCUUUUCAAGGGAAUGGCAGGUGAAUAAAUUUUGAGACUAUCAUGAGAUUAUAUGAACAAAAUGCAUGAUAAAAGAAAGAAAGAUCAAUUUUGGAAAAAACUCAUCUGAAUUUUUCUUAGUCACAAACAGCAACAACUACAACACAUAAUAGAGUUAGAAAAUAGUCCUUUAAAAGAAUAUUGCUUCCUACUUUAACAAAUAUAAAAAGAUGCAGACACAAAUAAUUAUCCUCAAGUUUGGAUGCAGCAGCUAGCUCCUCACUCUCAGAACCCUGCAUGCAUAUAAUAACAAACAAAAUGAUAAAUCCAUUGAUUUGAUUAGUAAAUGCAGCGGAGUAUUUUCAUUUAACUAUGAUGGAAACAUAGUCUGAGGAAUGAGACUACAAUUUCAUCAAGUUAUCUUGAAAUGGACAUAGAAAUUGCAAAAACUAAACAAAUUCUACUUCCAUUUCCCAGCCCCUACUUUUAAACAAGGAUAAAAAGGCAACCAACUUGCUAUAUGGUAAAACAGAUAUAUGACCAAAUAUAAGAAAUCCAAACACUUACAACUAGAGUGGUGAGGAAGGCCAAGACAACUUUAUUCUCAGACGUCAAUAUGCGUUCUGCAUCAUCCGCCGUACUAAUGUUGUACACCCCAGGCCCUAUCUUCUUCUUUAAAAUGGCAGUGCUUUAAUAAAUGGUAAGUGGCAGUGCUUUAAAGUGUGUAAACUAAACUAUAGAGAGGAGUUACGAUUAUGAUUAUGAUGAUGAUGAUGGUGGUAGAUUUUUUUUUUUGGGAUCUAGAGACUAGAGAAGAAGAAAAAAAACUGAUGAUUAUUGAUUGGAGUCUGAAGAAAAUUAAAAUAAGGUUGAGGCUGCUGAGUUUAGUUGGGACUUUGCACUCUCUAUAUAUACAAUGCUAGUGACUAACUACAUGGUUAUUAUCUCACUAUAGUUGGGACUUUGCACUCUCUUAUUAUGCAGUGAGAUAAGAGGAAAUGAACAGAAAAUAAGUAACUAAAUAAGUACCACUAGCCAUAUUUCACUUGAUCUCAAGUAACUAAAUAAGUACCACAUUGCACACUAAUCAUGAACAGAAAAUAGCAAAGAGAAAUAGUCUUGCAAAAAUAGAUAUUUCAAGACUAAUAAUACUUGAAAAAAAUCUUACCCUUCCUUUGGAAGAAUUGGGUGAAAUAAGAGGAAUGAGUACAGCAAAGCCACGACUGCCAAAUCCUGAAUACAAGAAAUAUAUCAGCUUUAUCAUACCCUCCUG